UACAUGUGGGGCAAGCGUUGUUCGGAAUUACUGGGCAUAAAGGGUGCGUAGGUGGUUUGUUAAGUCAGGGGUGAAAUCCCGCGGCCCAACCGUGGAACUGCCUUUGAUACUGGCGACCUUGAGUCCGGGAGAGGUGAGUGGAACUGCGAGUGUAGAGGUGAAAUUCGUAGAUAUUCGCAAGAACACCAGUGGCGAAGGCGGCUCACUGGCCCGGUACUGACGCUGAGGUGCGAAAGCGUGGGGAGCAAACAGG
rnacentral:rRNA from 1 species